rnacentral:rRNA from 1 species
UGGGGAAUAUUGCACAAUGGGCGAAAGCCUGAUGCAGCAACGCCGCGUGAGUGAUGAAGGCCUUCGGGUUGUAAAGCUCUGUCUUUUGGGACGAUAAUGACGGUACCAAAGGAGGAAGCCACGGCUAACUACGUGCCAGCAGCCGCGGUAAUACGUAGGUGGCAAGCGUUGUCCGGAUUUACUGGGCGUAAAGGAUGCGUAGGCGGAUUUUUAAGUGAGAUGUGAAAACCCUAAGCUUAACUUGGGGACUGCAUUUCAUACUGGAAAUCUAGAGUGCGGGAGAGGAGAAUGGAAUUCCUAGUGUAGCGGUGAAAUGCGUAGAGAUUAGGAAGAACACCAGUGGCGAAGGCGAUUCUCUGGACCGUAACUGACGCUGAGGCAUGAAAGCGUGGGUAUAGCAAACAGGAUUAGAUACCCUGGUAGUCCACGCCGUAAACGAUGAGUACUAGGUGUAGGGGGGUUAUCGACCCCUUCUGUGCCGCAGUUAACACGAU